UACAGAGGGGGCAAGCGUUGUUCGGAAUUACUGGGCGUAAAGGGCGCGUAGGCGCCUUCUAAGUCGAACGUGAAAUCCCCGGGCUCAACCCGGGAACUGCGUCCGAUACUGGAAGGCUUGAAUCCGGGAGAGGGAUGUGGAAUUCCAGGUGUAGCGGUGAAAUGCGUAGAUAUCAGGAAGAACACCCGUGGCGAAAGCGGCUCUCUGGAACGGUACUGACGCUGAGACGCGAAAGCGUGGGGAGCGAACAGG
rnacentral:rRNA from 1 species